UGGGCAAACUUGCUGAAAGGCAAGGACGCAAAGCUAACGGGUCUAAACCGACAAUAAUAAGAGGGUAUGACAGCCAGCUGC
rnacentral:ncRNA from 1 species